rnacentral:rRNA from 1 species
CCUACGGGAGGCAGCAGUAGGGAAUAUUGCUCAAUGGGGGAAACCCUGAAGCAGCAACGCCGCGUGGAGGAUGAAGGUUUUAGGAUUGUAAACUCCUUUUGUUAGAGAAGAUUAUGACGGUAUUUCACGAAUAAGCACCGGCUAACUCCGUGCCCGCAGCCGCGGUAAUACGGAGGGUGCAAGCGUUACUCGGAAUCACUGGUCGUAAAGAGUGCGUAGGCGGGGUAAUAAGUCAGAUGUGAAAUCCUGUAGCUUAACUACAGACCUGCAUUUGAAACUGUUACUCUGGAGUGUGGGAGAGGUAGGUGGAAUGCUUGGUGUAGGGGUAAAAUGCGUAGAGAUCAAGAGGAAUACUCAUGGCGAAGGCGACCUGCUGGAACAUUACUGACGCUGAUGCACGAAAGCGUGGGGAGCAAACAGGAUUAGAUACCCGGGUAGUC